rnacentral:rRNA from 1 species
UACGGAGGGUGCAAGCGUUAUCCGGAUUCACUGGGUUUAAAGGGUGCGUAGGUGGGUCUUUAAGUCAGUGGUGAAAUCCCCGAGCUUAACUUGGGAACUGCCAUUGAUACUAUAGCUCUUGAAUACUGUGGAGGUCAGCGGAAUAUGUCAUGUAGCGGUGAAAUGCUUAGAUAUGACAUAGAACACCAAUUGCGAAGGCAGCUGGCUACACAAAUAUUGACACUGAGGCACGAAAGCGUGGGGAUCAAACAGG